ensembl:lncRNA
CAACCCUCACUUCUCCAAUCCCACUCUCUCCCCGGGAGAGUAACAGGCUGACUCAGUGGUUUGCCUCAGUUGGCAAGGCGGGCCCAGUGAGCAGGUCAAAGGAGAAGACGAAAGUGUUCUGAGACAAGCAGUGAGGAGCCAACUUUGGAGGAACAAGUCUUCAGUGAGAUGAAUCAGUAACUGCUUGAGUCAGACACUGCACCAGGGUCUGGCAGCUUAAAGGAAGUGAGUGCCGGCCAGUGGUAGCUUGGCUGUGAGUGGCUCACCGGAGGAGCUGACUGUGAGAGUUCUACCUACCCCGAGUCAGGCUGGGUAGGCUCCAUCAUCUACUUGCAGUGGCAGAGGAGAAAAACUUAAUGCCUUUCUGCAAAGAAGAUGAACUAGGAUUAGAAGAAAUCAGAUGUGUGUACUUGACGGUGACUCUAUUGGGCUCCAGCAAUGGAGGCUACAACUGCCCGGUCCACCUGGAGAGCGG